rnacentral:rRNA from 1 species
AGCGAACGCUGGCGGCAGGCUUAACACACGCAAGUCGAGCGGGCAUCCUUGUGGUGUCAGCGGCAGACGGGUGAGUAACGCGUGGGAACGUGCCCUUCGGUUCGGAAUAACUCAGGGAAACUUGAGCUAAUACCGGAUACGUGCGAGAGCAGAAAGGUUUAUCUGCCGAAGGAUCGGCCCGCGUCUGAUUAGCUAGUUGGUGAGGUUAUGGCUCACCAAGGCGACGAUCAGUAGCUGGUCUGAGAGGAUGAUCAGCCACACUGGGACUGAGACACGGCCCAGACUCCUACGGGAGGCAGCAGUGGGGAAUAUUGGACAAUGGGGGCAACCCUGAUCCAGCCAUGCCGCGUGAGUGAUGACGGCCUUAGGGUUGUAAAGCUCUUUUCUCCGGGACGAUAAUGACGGUACCGGAGGAAUAAGCCCCGGCUAACUUCGUG